GCCCCAGUAGCUCAGGGGAUAGAGCAAUUCCCUUCUAAGGAAAAGGUCGGGGGUUCGAUUCCUCCCUGGGGCACCA
rnacentral:tRNA from 1 species